UACAGAGGGGGCAAGCGUUAUUCGGAAUUAUUGGGCGUAAAGGGCGUGUAGGCGGCUCGGCAAGUGGAUGGUGAAAUCCCUCGGCUUAACCGAGGAACUGCCGUCCAAACUGCUUCGCUUGAGACCGGGAGAGGUGAGUGGAAUUCCCAGUGUAGCGGUGAAAUGCGUAGAUAUUGGGAGGAACACCAGUGGCGAAGGCGGCUCACUGGACCGGUUCUGACGCUGAUGCGCGAAAGCGUGGGGAGCAAACGGGG
rnacentral:rRNA from 1 species